GUCAAACAAAUUAAUAGGAGACGGAAAAGAAAAGCUUCAAAAUCGUUCUUUUACCCUGAUAGUCCUGCUGGGAUGGAAAACUAGUUGGGCCAGCCAGUCCAGUCCUUGUCUUGCCUUAGUGCCUUCCAUGUCCCAUGGGUCCUGUGCUGCCUGGCCCUUGGGAGUUCAUUUACUAAUCCCUUGCUGGGGUGUUUCUGCAUGUGUGCUGACCUGAUCUGCCAUCCAGGCCUCAUUAGAACUGCUUACUGACUCUGAUCCAAAAAGCUACCUCCUGCCCACUCUUCCAGAUGGGAGAAAGACCCGACAAGAAAAACAUCAUAUUGGCUUAAUGUUAUUUUUGUGUGCCGAGUUACUUGGUUUUCAGAGUGAGCUCUCAGUGCGCACCAUUUCCAGUGGCUCUGCAGAGCCUUUAACAGCUGGAAACCCGCCGCCUCUUUGGCUGGAUGUGCUGAGACACCAAACAACCUCAGGCUGAUUCUUGGUAGUAGCUUUUGCAUCACAAUACGUAACGCUGCCUAGCUAUUGUUCAUCACCACUGUAGCCUCAAAUGGACUCCGGUGGUGCUGGCACAGGGGGACCCAAACCCACAGUGGGGAGCUCCUCUGAGGCCUGGUCCAAAGCACUGGUCUGGUAGACACGAGGUACCAACGCUUCCUGCUCCCCAUGGGCCAGAAAAGAUCAUGGAAAAGAGAAAUGAAUUACAUUUAAAGAAAGAGGGAGAGAAAGGAGGGAAGAACAAACAAAGAAAAACAGGACGUUUGGAUGCAGAUCAAUUCUCCUGGAGUUACAGCAGUAGGUGCUGCAGAAUUGAGGAGAAUUAAAAGAAAUGUAAAGCUCUGUGUCAUCCUUUGGAUAUCGGACAUCCUUUGGCUGUUGGACAUUGGGAGAUACCUUGGA
rnacentral:lncRNA from 1 species